UCCUCUGUCCUCGUCUCCUGCUCUCCUAGCGUCCUUGGUGUCUGUCCCAGUCCUCUGUGGUCUGGUGCUGCUGGUCAUUCUGGUCCUACUGGUGAGACGAUGUGUCCGCAGGAAACACUCAACAACAACAACAACAACAACAACAACAACAACAGAGACUGAUCCAGCUCCGGUCUACUCAGCAGUGGAAAGAACAGAAGAAGUCAGUUAUGAAGUGAACAGGUGGAGAGAGAGCGAUCGAGCUGCAGUGAGAGGAACUACAGACGUCUGUUAUGGACAAAUAGUGAUCGGACCAA